rnacentral:rRNA from 1 species
CCUACGGGAGGCAGCAGUGAGGAAUAUUGGACAAUGGGCGGAAGCCUGAUCCAGCAAUGCCGCGUGAGUGAUGAAGGCCUUAGGGUUGUAAAGCUCUUUUACCCGGGAUGAUAAUGACAGUACCGGGAGAAUAAGCUCCGGCUAACUUCGUGCCAGCAGCCGCGGUAAU